rnacentral:rRNA from 1 species
GGGAUGACCUGUGGGGAGGAGUUAAAGUCUAAUCAAACCCGGAGAUAUCUCGUUCUCCCCGAAAUAGCUUUAGGGCUAGCCUCACGUUACACCCGUUGGGGGUAGAGCGACUGGAUGGGGCUGGGGGGCCACAAGCCUACCCACUCCAACCAAACUCCGAAUACCAACGGGCUCUGUCGUGGGAGUCAGUCCACGGGAGAUAAUUUCCGUGGUCGAAAGGGAAACAGCCCAGACCGCCGGUUAAGGCCCCUAAUCGAAUCUAAGUUCGAAAGGUGGUCGAACUGCCGUGACAGCCAGGAUGUUGGCUUAGAAGCAGCCAUC